rnacentral:rRNA from 1 species
CAACAACAGACUCGGUGAAAUUGUAAUUCCGGUGAAGAUGCCGGAUACCUGCGACAGGACGGAAAGACCCCAUGGAGCUUUACUGUAGCUUGACAUUGGGUCUUGGUACUACAUGUACAGGAUAGGUGGGAGGCUUUGAAACCAGGACGCCAGUUUUGGCGGAGCCAUCCUUGGGAUACCACCCUUGUAGUACUGGGACUCUAACCAUAGGCCAUGAAUCUGGUCUUGGGACACUGUCAGGUGGGCAGGUUGACUGGGGCGGUCGCCUCCCAAAAGGUAACGGAGGCGCUCAAAGGUUCUCUCAGUACGGUCGGAAAUCGUACGUAGAGUGUAAAGGCAAAAGAGAGCUUGAUUGCAAGACAUACAGGUCGAGCAA